rnacentral:rRNA from 1 species
AACGAACGCUGGCGGCAGGCUUAACACAUGCAAGUCGAGCGAGGACUUCGGUCCUAGCGGCGGACGGGUGAGUAACGCGUGGGAACGUGCCCUUUCCUCCGGAAUAGCCCUGGGAAACUGGGAGUAAUGCCGGAUACGCCGAGCCAUAGCGAUAUGGUUUGGGAAAGAUUUAUCGGGGAAGGAUCGGCCCGCGUUGGAUUAGGUAGUUGGUGGGGUAAUGGCCUACCAAGCCGACGAUCCAUAGCUGGUUUGAGAGGAUGAUCAGCCACACUGGGACUGAGACACGGCCCAGACUCCUACGGGAGGCAGCAGUGGGGAAUCUUGGACAAUGGGGGCAACCCUGAUCCAGCCAUGCCGCGUGAUCGAUGAAGGCCUUAGGGUUGUAAAGAUCUUUCAGCUGGGAAGAUAAUGACGGUACCAGCAGAAGAAGCCCCGGCUAACUCCGUGCCAGCCGCCGCCGUAACAC